AGCUUUGCGCAGUGGUAGUAUCGUAGCCAGUGAGGUUUAUCUGAGGUGUGAUUAUUGCUAAUUGAAAAGCUCUUUGCAUAUCAAAUUACUCACAGGAGCUAGGAAGCCAAGUGAAAGACUAUGGUGUCUGAUUUUAG
ensembl:snRNA U4 U4 spliceosomal RNA